rnacentral:lncRNA from 1 species
UUGCAAAAUGGCGUGCCGUGCUGAAGAUUGGCCCCAACGAGCCUUCUCAGCUGUCAAUCAACGAGAACGCCAAUGGGUUGGCCCGAUAUGCUAUCAUCUGCCAGGAGAAUGGCCUCGUUCCCAUUGUUGAGCCAGAGAUUCUGGUUGAUGGAUCCCAUGACAUUCAAAAGUGUGCUGAUGUGACCGAACGUGUUCUUGCAGCAUGCUACAAGGCCCUUAACGACCACCAUGUCCUGCUUGAAGGAACUCUAUUGAAGCCUAACAUGGUGACUCCAGGAUCUGAUGCAAAAAAGGUUCCACCCGAGAUGAUUGCUGAGUACACUGUCCGUGCCUUGCAGCGCACCAUGCCCGCAGCUGUCCCUGCUGUGGUGUUCCUCUCUGGUGGGCAGAGCGAGGAGGAGGCUACCAUCAACCUCAACGCUAUGAACAAGUUGAAGGCGAAUAAGCCAUGGUCUCUUUCCUUCUCCUUCGGACGUGCCCUUCAGCAAAGCACUCUCAAGGCUUGGUCAGGAAAGGAAGGGAACGUGAAGAAGGCGCAGGAGGCUUUCCUAACCAGGGCCAAGGCCAACUCGGAAGCGACAUUGGGAAACUACAAGGGUGAUGCCAAGCUCGGUGAAGGUGCCGCGGAGAGCCUUCACGUCAAGGACUACAAGUAUUGAUUGAUGAUCGUUCUGGAUUGCUUUAUUCUUUCAGUAGUCUAGGUCUUUUUUUUUGUUGAAACUUUAUUCGUAUAAUCUCGGUCGUGAUGAGAUUAUUACCGGAUACUAGUAGGUUUUGAUAAAAGCUUGAGGAACUAUGGCAAGCAUGGAAGAGUUUUGUUUGUUUCAUCAACUUGGUUUUGGUUUGGAGAAAUUUAAACCUCUUGUUUAUAUUCUGGUUGAUCGAGAAUGUACUUAUUUGAACUUUAGUUUUUGAUUGGGGUGUGCUAUCCACACAUCCCCUUUUACUUCUCACACACCCCUUAUUAAUUUAUGUCCGUUGAUCUUCUUCAAUUCAUCCGAUUCGACGGCCGAAAACUAAAAAGGUGUGAGAGAAGUAAAAAUGGGUGUGUGGAUAUCACACCCCUUUUGAUUUAGUUGCGUAAGCAAAAUCUUCGAUUGGGUUAGUAUUGUUUUAGGCCCAAUACUGUAUUGGGCUUUCACAAUUGUAACAUGUAAAUUGUUUUAGGCCCAAUAUAGUCAUAAGUUUUGGGGUUGAAUACACACACCUCCUAAGGUUUUCGUGUUUUCUCAAAGGGAUGUGAUAUCCACACACCCAUUUUUACUUCUCUCACACCCUUUUAAUUUUCGGCCGUCGGAUCGGAUGAAUUGAAGAAGAUCAAAGGACAUAAAUUAACAAGGGGUGUGGGAGAAGUAAAAAGAGAUGUGUGGAUAGCACACCCCUUCUCAAAAACCCCUCAGGUUUAAAACAUUACGCUAACAUUCUCUGAGAUUUUAGUUCACUUACACAAAACCCCUUCAAGGACAAAUUUACCCUUUUAAUUAAUUAUCCAAUUUUGAAUCUUGUAAUUGUUAUUAUGAUGUUGUAUGUGUAGGAUUUAGAGGUGAGCAAUAGCUAUUUUCUGAUGCUAUUUUGGCGAUUUGGGAGGCCAAUCGUCACAGGUUGCAGUGACUGGUAUCCUUUUUCUAGGCCUCUGUUUCCUCUUGUGCUCUUUGCGCAUCUUAUUUUAGUCCCCUCUGAGACAUCCGACAAAAUUAGAACGAUUAUUUUCAUUGAGAAAAAAGUUUUAAAAUAUGCUCUUUCUUUUUUCUUAUUUUCUUUUUUUAUAUCAAAUAUAAUAUUUGGAGGCAGAACAGAAAAUAAAUAAUGUAUUAGGAAUCAUGUCUGCAUCUAAGCUUUUACCUAUACUGGUAUGCUCACAUGUCAAUUUAGAUUAAAAACCACUUAUCACUUAUCAGCAGAGCGGCCAUAUGGGAUCAAAGAUCGGGAAUUAAUUAAUGGAAAAAUAUAAUAUAUGUGUGUGUGUGUGUGUAUAAAGAAGGAUCGAAGUGAAGAAUAUUCCAAGGCCUAAGCAGCAUCGGUCAUUUUGUUCUCCAAUAUCUGCGUCGGAUCCACGCAUUCCAUGUUCCUGGUUAAAAUAUUUCAACAACUUUUUUUUUGAAGUUUAAAUACUAAGAUAGGUCUAUUCAUACACAUUUUUUUUACUUUUACGUAUAUUUGUUAAUUUUUGUUUAUUGAUCUUCUUAAAUUAUUGAAUUUUACGGCCGAAAAUUAAAAAAGAUGUGUGAGAAGUAAAAAUGAAUGUGUAGAUAACAUUGUCUUAAUUAAAUAUUAUUCAACAAAUUAAAAUUACCCGACAUUGCAGGAACCUCUUCAAAGACCUACUUGGCCAUGGCCAGUUGGCUAAUUGGUUUCAGAAAACAAGAGAAUGAGAGAUGAAAAGAGAGGUAGGUGAAGCCUCCAUAACUUAGUGUUCAACAUCCUAACUACCACUUCUUUUUCUUCUUCUUUCACAAAAGUUUCCAACCUCGACCUGAAUUAUAAUUUGAAUAUCAACUUUUGAAAAAAAAAAAAAAGUAGACGUAAAUUAUAAUUUGAAUAUUUACUUUUGAAAAAAGGAAGUUGACAUUGACGUAGUUACAUUGGCUAAUUAGAGUUUAUGUACUCUCCUCAAUGUACUUAGUUGAAAUUCUCUCUCUACAAUUUAAGAUCAAUUUAAAUAAAACAUGAGUUGUAUUAGAAGUUAUACAAAAGAGUGAUGGCUAUCGAUGUACGACAUCAAAUUGCAAACAUAACACUACUGUGAAUCGUGAUAGAGUCUCACCUUGCACUUAGUAAAUCAACUAAUAAGUACGUAGAAGUUGAAAGGGAGAAUAUUAGAACUUGGAUUUUUUAUUUGUGUAAAAUGGAUACCACGUUGUACAACUCCAAAAGCAUGUCGAACGCUCGAAGUAACCAAGAAUAACUGCGCUUAUGUCAAAAUAAAUGGAAGAAGAGUCAACUGAAUUUUGUUCAUAGGUCUCAUAAGGAGGCGAAGUGUAAACCUAAUGAGACAUUUCGUCAUACCAUAUUCUUUUGCAUGCUUUUAUUUUUAAAUAAUUUGGCACUUUUAAAUACAAAAGAGAAGAUGGGCGUGACAUAAAAGUAAGAAAAUUGUGGCGCAUGAUCCAAAUGAUGCAAUUGAUUUUGGUUAAUAUAUAAAUGCGUUGAAAAUUGAAAGUUUGUUCGAUGAGGCAUAUAUAAUAACAACUCUUGUUUUGACUUAUAAGUAGCAACGAGAAAUGCGGUGGGUGAGGUGACAAGGAACCAACACGAAGCAUAUACGAUUUGACUGUGCAAAUCACACACACGAGGCAUAUACGAUUUGACCGUGCAAAUCACACACACACACAAUUAGUGACGGAGCCAGAAUUUUACAACAAAGGGAUCAUGAUUUCGACCACAAAAAGAAUUCAUGGCACCAUUCUGUCGAGCAUCAAUUGGGCACCUAUCAAAAUCUACCAACAUUCACUGAAAGCUUGUGAUGACAUCUAACAGUAGCCGUUGCGUUCUUCUAGCAUUUGUAUCUGUCAAGGUGUGCCUAACCUAGCAAACUGUCAAGACCUACCUGCCAAGACUUUUUGAGUGAAGCAUUAGGUCGAGCAUGUGGUGCACACCAUUAAGUUGCAUAGAAGAAAAAAGAGAAGGAAGACACGAGGAAAGAAAAUUGGAGAAAGAAGAAGCACAAUCGGUUGUAAUUUAACAUUGUUCAUUCUCUCCUUAAGUAGGGUCUAAAGAUAAAUCUAUCAAUAAGUAUAUAAAGGUUUAGGAAGCUGUUGGGGUCAUGAGCAGCUAUUGACCCCAAAGUGACUCCGCUACUUCACACAAUAAUGUAGAUGCUGCAUUAGAAUAAUUUUACACUAAAAAAAAAAAAAUUCAAUGUCACUUAACACCAUUGAAUUAUGUAUCUAAUUAUUCAAAUGAAGCAUGAGGCCUGAAAUGGACCGGGUGAGAGAGUCAAUAUUAGGCCACUAAAGCAAAAUGUUUAGUGCCGUACUAAAAUAAUGAAUGCUAUUAUAUGAUGUAAUCAGUUUAUGUGUUACAGCAUGAAUGAACGAUUAGUUGAAUUUAAUUUAGAAUGCAUUAUGAAUUAAAAAAAAACACGCUUUAAAAUUUGACUAUAGUUUAUAGUUAGUGACCUUACAGUAUUCUAAAAUCAGUGUAACGUGUGUUUCUCUUCUUAAAUUGGAACCCCUAAAUUCUCUUUGUGUAGUGUAGGUACAAUCGAUCAUAUAAAGGAUAGGAGAGACAUUGAAGGGGUAUUCCAGAGCGUUUGAUGGGUUGUUUAUUGUUACAAAAACAAAGAAAUUUCUUUGGAAAUAACAUUCACGUUGUAAGUUUAUGUAUCCUAAAAGUCAAAACUGCCAACACUAGAGAAGCUAGCUACACACAAUGCCAUUCAUUCAAGGGGUAGUUUUGGCCGCUUUUUCUUUGUAUACUUCAACAAUCAAUUUGUGCAAAAACAAAUUAAAUUUGAUUUGGCAUAAUAAAAAAAGAAGACAUGGAUCUCAAAUAUAGGAGAGAUAAAUACAAUUUGUCUUGAAAUAUAGGCUCUUAAGGGGAUGUGGAGUCACUUAGUACUACGGUUUCGUGGUGUUCAUUUUUAUUUGUAAGUGAGAAAUCUUAGGUUCGAUUCUUAUUAAAGACGAAUUUAAACCACAUUAUUGCUAAUCCAUUGUGAGGCUUAAUCCACUCUCACUCUCUUCGCAUAGAUAAUGUCAUAUGUUAAAAAAAAAAAUAUAUAUGAUGUGACUAUAAUAUCCUGUAACUUUAAAUACAUCAAAAUAAAAAUGAAGUAGAUGAAGGCAGUAAAAAUAUACCAUAUGUUUCUUUAAAUCUCACCCGUUUAUUUCACGUUGUAGAUUUUUCGCCAGAUAUGAAUAUAGGCUGAAAAAAAGAAGAAGACAAGCAUUGUCUUAAAGGCCGGAACCAAGAAUGCCGGUGUUGGUUUUGGGUAUCACAAGUUCACAAAACCAAACCAAAACCAGAGUCGCCGUCAAACCCCACAGGAUUUGGUUGGCUGGUUUUUACCUUUUGACCACCUUCCAACCUACUUAACCUAAUCACGGGACGGCGGCUGGUUUCGUGAAGACCUACCACCGUGCCUAAUUACUUUUUUACCCUCCAAUUAAUUUGGGCUCUAAUUCUUUUUUGGUAAUUAAUUUAGGCUCCAACUUAAAGAAAAUAUAAAUGUGUGUGUAGAAGGUAAAAAUUGUGUGUGGUUACUGGUUAAGGCCUUUGAAAGGCAUGUGCAUAUUUUAACUGUCCCACAUGAAUUUUCUCCUAAUUAGACUAAUUAAUGAAAAUUAAUGUUUAUUAUUUGUUUUGAGAAAAAUAAGGAGUUCUACCCUAAUAUUGUAAAUCUAAGGCAAUGUACCUGAAUUAUUAAUAAUACACAAAAAAGAAAUUGAUAUAUCAAGACUCUAAAGAGUAACGCUAUUGCAAAAUUGUGUUGCAAUAAAAUUAGGUCUAGCAAUAACAACAAGUCUUAUAAGCAAUUGCAAAAUCUACGUGAUAAUUUAUGUUCUUAAUCAUUUAAAGAUAGUGGGAUAUUAAAUCCUAACUAUUUCUAAAUUUCAUUGGAGAUAAUAAAUUAAUGGAGAAAACUUUAUUUAUUUUCAUUUGAACUUUUUUGAAAAAUAAUUAUUUCUUUUUGAAUUGCUAGAGAAUCCAAUCCACCAUAAUGAAUUCGUAUAUUUAUAUAAAAUAGGAAAUAAAUCUAGGUCCAAUUAAUGUCUGGAGGGCAAAAUGGUAAACACAAAAAGAGAAAAUUAAUAAUAAUUUAUUUACGUGGGAAAGAAGCCAAGCAAGUAGAGCAACUUUCGAGCCGGAUUCACAUAAAAAGCCUCACCCACCCUUCACUUUCUUCCAUCUUUCUCUUUAUCUCUCAGAAAGCAACCAACUCGUCUUCUUCUUCCUCUCAAGUCUUCAGAUCAAACAUGUCUGCUUACAGAGGCAAAUACGCUGGUAAUUUACUCAUCCCCUUCACUUUUUUACUCGUUCAUAUCGAUCUGUUUUUGCAUAUCUAUAUAUUUGUCUUGAUUAAUUUCUUAGAUCUGAUUGUUCUUGUGCGUUUUCAAGAUUUGAUGCGUGAACCCAUGUUUUUUUAAGUGUGUUGUGGUUGUUGAGUGAUUGAAUCUUACUUCUGUGGUCAAGAUCCGACGACCAGAUUUGGGUUUCUUCGAUACUGUAUAGAUUUCUUGCAGUAUUCUGGUUUUGGGUUCUCAGAAAAUCAAUCGUUUUUGCUCCUGAAACUAUUUUUUAGUAUAUUUGAUUACUGAAGUUUAGAUCUAAUCUGACAUACCUAGUUAAUAUGCCUUCUGGGUUUUACUUUGUGAAGGUGGAAUAACUGUUGACUUGGAUUUUACUUCAAGGUUAAACUCAAUUUUAUGGAUUUAGAGUUCUCAAAUUUUCAAGUGUGUUUAUUGGGUUUAUGAUUUUUUCAGUCAACUAUUGGUAUGGGAUUCGAUUGACAAUGACAAAGUUGUUUGGUACCAAAUCUAGAUCUUUUGAUCUAAAUUGAAACCCUACAUUUUUAUGUUUGUGAUGAUCUACUUAUUCGUAGUACUUAACCCUUGUGAGUUCCUCCUUUUAUUUGUUUAUUUGUUGUUUUGACCUGAAGUUGUAAUAGUUUUGGAAGCAAUUAACAUGUAGUAAUUGGUUUUUUGAUAUUGUCUUCGGUUGCAUUACCUUGUUGACUAUGAGGGGAAUUUGGACUUGUCCUAACUUUAUUGUUCUGUAUUUUCUCGUUUUUGGUUAUUUAAAGUAGAUGUUUUGAUGUGGGUAUUUAUAUUUUGUGAUUUCUGGUCUAUGUUGGCUGAAUUUUGUAUGCCUUGCAGAUGAGCUUAUCGCCAAUGCUGCCUACAUUGGCACCCCUGGAAAGGGUAUUCUCGCUGCUGAUGAGUCAACUGGCACAAUCGGCAAACGUUUUGCCAGCAUCAAUGUUGAGAAUGUUGAAUCAAACAGGCGUGCUCUUCGUGAGCUCCUCUUCACUGCCCCUGAUGUGCUCCAAUACCUUAGUGGAGUGAUCCUCUUUGAGGAAACCCUCUACCAGAAGACUGCUUCAGGUAUUUUUAUUGAAGGUUCUAGGUUUUGAUACUUUGGCAUUCCACGAUUAUUAGUUCUGUUGUAUUUGGAAUCAAUAUAUUAGGUGCAGUGGUUAUUUUAUUUGAUCAAUAAAUCUGUAGAAUUCGUAUGUUUUUGUAACGUUUUUUGUUUCUUCAAGAGAAGUUUGGGUAAAGCUUUAAAGAGUACUUGUUCUUUUAGUAAUCCUGUUUUGACAAUCCUCUGGUUGCAUGAAUUGUUACCCUUUUCCAAUUUGUGCUCGCUUUGGAUUGUUGUUUUCGCAAAUAAUUUACUCAAAUUUUCCAUGGGAUGGUACUCGUUGUAUUGUAUUCUGCAGGCAAGCCAUUCGUUGACGUCUUGAAGGAAGGUGGUGUUCUCCCUGGUAUUAAGGUCGACAAGGGUACCGUUGAGCUCGCCGGAACCAAUGGUGAGACCACAACCCAGGGUCUUGAUGGCCUUGCCCAGCGCUGCCAGAAGUACUAUGAAGCUGGUGCACGGUUUGCAAAAUGGCGUGGUGCUCAAGAUUGGCCCCAAUGAGCCAUCUCAGCUGUCCAUUCAAGAGAACGCUAAUGGGUUGGCUCGUUAUGCUAUCAUCUGCCAGGAGAAUGGUCUAGUCCCAAUCGUUGAGCCAGAGAUCCUGGUUGAUGGACCCCAUUCCAUCGAUAAGUGUGCUGAUGUGACAGAGCGUGUUCUUGCUGCGUGCUACAAGGCUCUUAAUGACCACCAUGUCCUCCUCGAAGGAACUCUGUUGAAGCCCAACAUGGUCACUCCAGGAUCUGAUGCCAAGAAGGCUUCACCAGAAGUGAUUGCCGAGUAUACAGUUCGUGCCUUGUUGCGCACUACCCCUGCAGCUGUCCCUGCUGUUGUGUUCUUGUCCGGUGGACAGAGUGAGGAGGAGGCUACCCUCAACCUUAACGCCAUGAACCAACUCAAGGGAAAGAAGCCAUGGUCUCUAUCCUUCUCCUUCGGACGUGCUCUUCAGCAAAGCACACUGAAGGCAUGGGCAGGGAAAGAGGAAAACAUCCCAAAGGCACAGGCUGCUCUCCUCACAAGGGCCAAGGCCAACUCUGAGGCUACUCUUGGAACCUACAAGGGUGAUGCCAAGCUCGGUGAGGGUGCCGCUGAGUCUCUCCAUGUGAAGGAUUACAAGUACUGAAAAAAUUUACAGUUCUUGCUUCUCUUGUUUUGGUUUUGGAAAACUAUCUUGCGGUAUGUGUAUGGCUUUUGUCAUUCUCGGGCGUAUAGUGUUAGGGUUUUUUUCGGAUUUCUGUUCUUGAUCUCUCUGAUUUUAGGACGGUGGUAGAAUAAAAGGCUUGAGGACCAUUGGCAUAUGUUGAGUUUGAAAAAUGUUUCCUUUUCUUGUUCAAAAGAACUAUGUAGGUUCUUUUUUAUUGCCUGAAUUGAAGGUAAGCAUUCUAAUUUCCAAAAUCCAGUUUUUGUGUAUUUGAUUCUGCUCUUAAUUACCCUUAUUUCUUGAAUGGUUAUAUGCGUGUUCGUUGUCUUGUCUUUUAUAUUUAAGCUUUUGACAUUCCCUAAAGUUUUAUUUUGAAUUUUUAUGUUUUUGAGCAAAUUUUGAUUGAAAGCAACUCAUAUCUAUAUAUCAUCCAUCAACCUUUCUCAUAUCCAUACAUCAUCCAUCAAUGUUUCCUCUUAUUUACACGACAUUUUCAUCGAUAUUGGUAUUUUAAACACAGGUUAUAAGCUUAGUAAACUUAUCAAUCCAGUUCUAAGCACCAAACGUUGUGUAAGUCGGAGUGCAAUUGUAUUUCAAUUCCUUUGUUUUAGGAACUUUGAGCUCUUCAAAUUUUAGAUGGAUUGAGUGAAAUUCGAGUUGAGGUUUAGAUCGUCGUAAGCUUCGGGUUUACCUUGUAUUCACAUCCAAACACAAGACUAAUCUGCAUAAACCACCAUUUAGCUUUGAAGACAACUGAACAAGUCAGAAGACCCAUAAUUCAAGACUAAAUUCGAUAAAUCUCCCCAAAAAAAAAAAUUCCAUUGGAGACUCAUCCGAUUCUUCCAAAGAGCGAAGAAGAUUGAUGAACGAAUCAAAGGAACAAAAACAAUUUCCACAUUCCUGUUUUCUCCUGCUACACUUUUUCUCUGAUAUGUCCCUUGAUUCUCUCUAAUUAUUAAAUCCAAUGGCCCCCGUUUAAGAUAAUAAGAUAAGAAUAGUAUAGAAAGAGAAAACAAGAGUGCGAAAAUAAUUUCCAGCACAAUAUGCCACAUGCUGGGAUAGGAUGAGAUUCACUAACAAACAAUCCCUUAUACUACAUCUUUAUGGACCAAUAACGCUCAUUCUUUCUAUGUACCUAAUUGAAUUGGGUUUUUGGGCCAAUUGGGCUAAACCCUUGACUUUGCAGGGCUUAAAUAAAGAUUAAGGGCCUCUAUUUCUAUAGUUAUAAUUUAUAUUUUACAUGUGUAGGUUAAAAUUAAUUUUCCAUGGUAAGUAUCAGUAAGGUCUGAAGAUGGUUAAAAAAGCAGAGGAAGCAUGGCCAGCUUUCCCAAUUUCGGGUUCCAUCUCCUUUUGGGAGAUGGAUUGUCUCCCUCCCCUUCUCAUACUCUCCUCAUGCUCUCCUGUUUUGUGCGGUCACGAUUAAGCCAAGUCAACAUUUUAUAUUAAUUUUUUUAUAAAAAUAAUAAGACAAAAAAUAAAUGUUGAUGUAGUUUAACCAUGAUCGCACAAAACAGGAGGGUAUGAGUAGGGGAGGGCAGACAAUCCAUCUCCUUUUGGGUAAGCCAUAAACUGCAAAAGCAGAGCAGUAACAGUUCAUUUUUUCCCCCUUCUUUUCUUUUGGUGUUUUAUUUAUAUCAGCUCAGUAAGUGGUCACAUCAGCAAAAGCAUGAAGCAAGCAAAGCAAAAGCAUCCCCCCACCCCAAACAAAAGGUUUUUUGCUCAAACUUGAAAGUUCUAAAAUUGUCAUGCAUGUAAUCUCCUGGUUUGACUGCGGAUGACUCAACUACUCAACUGUCUCAAGCAGCUGGAAGCAGAAGCAGGAAGCAGAAGCAGAAGCUGUUUGGCCUUGGGACAAGCAAACUAAAGCAAGUUUGGGGAAGGAGAUUCAUCAGAAUAGUAACAAAAGAGAGGGAAAAUAAAUGGGCGUACUUGAAAGAAACUGUGACAAUGACUUACAAUGUUUGGUUCCCUUGGUGGGAAGCUUCUUUACUCUUUCCUAUGUACGGUCAUUAGUCUCUGUCCAGGAGUGUUUACUGUUUGUGUUGUGUUUAUGAGUGUUAUAUGAGUAUGAUGACUUAACCUUAUCUGUGUUUGGAUCACAAUGUUACCUUCUCCACUAGCUACAUGUGAAAAUAGUUUUCCCACGGCCUUGAAAAUUCUACAAUAAACUGGUGUGUGUAAUGCAUUACUUCAAUUGAUAGCUAGAUUUACGUACUUUAUCUAAAUACUUUAGUUCAGCAAAACCUAAAAACAUAAACCCUUCAUCAAGCUAAUGCAUCACAUACACCGGUGUACAACAAAGAAUCCCCCAUUAUGCAAGAAUAAGCUUCAAUUUGAUUGCCACCCUCUUUCCCUAAAAAAAUUCAACAAAAAGAAAUGGAGGAAAAAAAUAAAUUCAACAGUCCCAUUCUAUCAUUCUUUUGAAUGCAUUUGAGUUUUCAUUAGGUUAUAUUUUUAUACGAGUGAUAUUAGGAUAUGAAGAAUCAAACAUAAGAUCCGGAUGUGAGAGUAAAUACUUUUAACCCUAUGAGUUACGAGCCUAGAAGUGGAAGGAGCAAGGAGAAAAAAAAAUUGAUUAUUAAAUUCGAGUGAGAUACAACCACUCAUUGAUGUGCUUAGGGAUAAUUUGGAAGAAAAUGCCAAUUAUAGUACUACUCUUCACUUUGUUGGAGGAGGUUUUCGAGUUUCAAAGCUUAUGUACGACUACUGCUAAUAAAUUAAACGAUAAAUCAUUUACGCUAAAAUUAUUUUUGGAAUUUUAAUAACAAUUACCUUUCAAAUUUAUAUUUAAUAACGUGCAUGAAAAGAAAAAGUUUAUAUAUUUCUGUAUAUGAAAGAUUAUAAUUCUCUAGACUCCCGACAGUCUUGUAUAUAUUUUACUGCAGAAUGAUGUAGAUAUUUGCUACACUAAUUAAUAUCUCUCAGUGAUGUAUUAUAUAUAUAUAUAUAUAUCACUCAGCUGUAAUUUAAUGGAAAUCACUACUGGAGUGCUUUAAUUGCAGAUAAUGACAUGUUCCUGGAGAUACAAUUCGUACGUUUUCUUUGCUAAGCAGCUGCACAUGCCAUGCCUGCUUCCAAAUAUUGGCAGUUUUCUGUAGCUAGUACGUACCAUCUAGCCAUGCUAUAUAUGCUGAUGUUGAUCUGAUCCGAUCUGAUCGAGAAGGCAACUUCCAAUGGAGUAAGGGAAUUUGCUUUAUUUUUUUGGCUAUAUUGUAAAGAAUCGAACUUCAAUCUAUCCUAACCCUAACCCGUUAUCGCAACCCUCCCUCGCCGCUAUCUGGCUAAAUCACUUUUACUAUCAAAUUGAAAUUCAACUGGUAGUAUCUCACAUUUCCAUUUUUUGAACCAAAAUUUCUCGUGUCGUUAAAAAAAGUUGUUAUUUGCUUCAUUACAUCGGACACUAAUACAAACACUACAAGGAAAAUAGCCUACAACAGCAUAACAUUUACAACAUGUUUAAUUGCGUGUUAAAACAUCUAAAAAACUAUUUUUUGUAAAACCCACUAUAUUUUUCUGUGAGUUACUUGAUCAAUGUGUGUAAAACAAGUUCAACCACAAGAUUAGUUAAAUGUACAUUUGGGAAAAGUUAUAGAAUUAUGAAUACUUCUCUUCAGCGAUCUAAAGUUCUAAACCCUUCAUUUGUGUAAUUAUAACUACCUACUUUGAAUGAUCAAGAUUUGUGAGCUAAAAACUAAGUUAUUAAGCGAUUUUAUACUAAAUUGAUCUUAACUAGUAUGCAUAUGCUUGAAAUCCAUGUCAUGAGUGUUCAUAAGAUAAGAAACAUUUACUCAUGCAUGUAACAUGAAAGAAAUGGAGGUUAAAACAAAUGAAAACCCACAAAAAAAUAGACCAUUUUCAUGAUACAGGAAUUAAACUUUUCCAUAAAGGAUAAAACCUUAAAAUAUUGGCUAGGAUGAAACCGCAACGCUAGCAGCACCGCAACCUGUCCAAAUCUAUAAUUAUUUCCCUCUAAAAAUUCCAUGUCUUUAGACUUUAGUUCCAUGAUUAAAACAUCAAUCAAACCCUACACAUAAAUAUCCCCCAGUUAGCUCCUUGAUUACACGAUCAUACAGUAAGCCCCACCUCACAUGAGAGAGAGAGAGAGAGAGAGAGAGAGAGAGAGAGAGAGAGAGAGAGAGAGAGAGAGAGAGAGGUUUUUUCUCAAAUUUGUUAAACCCCAUAACAAAAGUCAAACCUCUCCUUUCAAAGUUCAAACCCUCCUGCUAGAUUAGAGCAACUGAGCAAGUUGUCUUCUGCAGCUAGCAGAUGAUCACCUAGUACAAAGUAAUAAUAUUACACCUCAUAUAAUAUUGUCAUCACUGGUUUUGGCUUUCCGUGCUGAGCUUCAAUCCAUAAUUUUCCCACAAGUUCUCCCCCUCACUCAUCAAGAAGGGAAAACAAUUAUCAGGCACUGCAUUGCUCCCCACAUUAUUUGCAUUAUUCCCACAAUUAGGAGAAUUGUUAGAACCAUCAUGAUUACCUUGUUCAUUACUCAUUUCACCACAAUACCCUCCCUUACUACUAUAUAAUGAGGAACAAGACUCAUUGCUCUGAAAGUAACAAGCUGCCGAUGCACUUCUUGAAUUUGCAUUCUCCUUUCGCUUCUUAUUCAAUAACUCCUUGGUACUCCUACUCAUGUUAUGAACUAUUUGAUCACGAUCAUGAUGAUCAGGUGAUGACGAAUUGUAAUUAGUAGCUUUUGCUUGAUCAGUUGAUGAUGAUCCUCCCGAUAUCUUGUGCAAUGUAUCCAUCAAAGCUUUAUCCCUAGCUUCAAUCCAUGCCCUCUCUUUGGCCCAAAACUUGUGCUCUCUCUCAACCCUAUCAACUUCUUGUUUCCUCCACUCCUCCUCUCUCACCACCCUCUCCCUCUCCUUUUGCUCAAGGGUUCUCAUUAGCCUCUCCAACCACUCCUCUUGCUUCUCCAUUAGCUUCCUCAUUUGCACAUCGAUAAACUCUUUUAUCUUCGCCUUCCAACCCCUCCCCCCGCCACCCCCUCUUCUCUUCCUCGUUGUCUUCACCUCCUGCAGAUCAUCGUCCAUUGCGGCUGCACUGACAUCAUUAUUAAUGUCUUGAUCUUCUGAGGAGGAGGUUUCAAACUCGGAUGAAUUCGAGAGGCUAAGGCUGUCACAGUGCUUUUGAUCAGAUGAUUGAUGAUGAUAGGGAGUAGUGAUCUCUUGAUUUGCUUGAGCAUUGCCGGCUGCUUGGCAACGAUAAUUGCUACUAUUAUUACCGACGAAAUGGGUUUCUGCAGGUAAAGAUGGUGAGACUACGGCGUUGGUGGUUUCUCCAUAGAGAGCUUCGAGCUGUCGAAAGAACCGAUAAUGCUUGCCAUCUUGUCUUCCAGCCUUUCCUUCCUUUGUUUUCUUGUAGUACUUGUACAAAUUUUCAAACUUCUCUCUACAUUUUUUCCCACUUCUUUGAUACCCAUGUUCCUCAAACAUGAUCCUGCCACAAAUUUAAUUAAUGCAUGGUAGGCAAAUGCAGAAAAUAAGUUUGGAUUUUAACAAGGAAAAAAAGCCCAAAAAGAGAUUUAACACUUUUUAAUAGUAAAAAUCCAUAUCCUAGUAGUGUGUCAUGUAAUUAAGCAAGAUAUCAAAGUGAUUGAUUGUGUGAAGAAGAUAAUAGUAGAGAAACCCUAAAUUGAAUUCUAAAAUAGACUAAGCUAAUAACCAUUAAACGUUGUGUCCAUGUGAAAUAGUGAUGAUCACUCCUUUGCUAAUGAUGAUGUUACGCUAUCCCAAUUUAGCAUAUGACCAUUCAAAAAAAUUCUAAUGAAAGAUAAUGUGUAGUCUUUAGAAGGAGGAGGAUGAGGAGAGGUAGGGGGAGGGGGGCGCAAUUACAUUUCUUGUAGAUCAUGUCUUUCCAAUAUCAGACAAAAACCAGUCGAUUGACAGUACUCAAGCAUGGAAUAGGACAAGUAUUAACUAUUUUGCAGAAAUAAGUAUAAAAACUUGUGCUUGAAAGGUCACAUUUGCAAUACAGAAAUCGUAUAGAAAAAGGGUUCCCAAAUUGAUUUAGGGCCAGUUUGGACAACACGAAAGUCAUCAUCAAAUCUUAAAAUGAAUGAAGAAAAAAAAAAUAGCACCUCAGUUCGAAGCUGAUGAACUGAAAUUGCUUGUUCAGUCAUUUUCCAACUCAAAACAUAGAAAAACUAUCCAUAAAUUGCUUCAAUUAUUUUUAAUUAAUAAAAAGAAACACAAUAGAAGUACCCAAAAUAAGAUUUUGCUUAAACAUCCAUGCCAAAUUACUACCAUGCACCAAUUAAUUAAGAGAGAUCACAUAAUAAUGAAGACCAAAACAAGUUUAACAAACCAAGAAUGAACAAAAAUAAAUAAAAAUAAAAAAAAUAAAAAAGAGAGCAGAUAAUUAGGGUAUGUGCUAUGAAUGGUUAUAUACUUGUACAAGUGUAUAUGUAUGUAUUUACAUACCUAGAGACUUCAUCCCAGAGAGGACCCUUCUGAUUAGCCUCUUUGAACUUAAAAUCAAGCCGUGAUCGGAUCUCCAGAAGAGUGAGAGUCUCUUGCCUCGGCCACCUUCCAGACCCUUCGCCUCCAAGACACCCGCCAGCUUCAGUCUCCAAGCCACCGCCACUAAGGGAAGGAGCUGCUGUAACAGUAGUAGGAGUAGUGACACCUCCGGCAGCACUAGUAGAGUCCGGAGAGCGAAACUCAUGAUGAUGGUGAAGCCCACGAGGGAUCAUCUCGUGGGCUUGAGAACGGCCCAUCAUCAUGAGCUGCUCGUACGGAUGGUGUUGAUGAUGAAGAGUUGGAGGAGGUCCUCGGUGGUGGUUCGGGAAGAGCUCAGUGGGGGGUUGUAGUGGGAUGGAGGGGAAGUGAGUCCGACCUCCGUUCAUGAGUUGCCGGAGAUCGGACAUGUUGUACUGAUCCUCCAUUUCCAUGGAGAACAAAGAAGAAGAACAAGAAACAAAUGUUCACUUAAAAGAGAAAUAUUGAGAGAAAAAUGAAGCACAAAAAGAAGAGUGGGAGAGGAAGAGGAGGAGAGAGAGAGAGCGGCAGAAUCGGAUCGUGUCGUUCACGAAAAAGCUGGAAUUUAAGCACAGGACAAUGGUCCCAUGUCUGAGAGUGUGUGUGUGUGUUUAUGCAUCCUUGUAUACGACUAGUGACUCAUUUUGUCCAGAGCGUGAAAUUUGUAGUGUUUGGACACGAGGAUAAGCAAAGAAUGCAACUUGGAGGAUUAUGGAUGCAGAUAGAUUCUAUCCGAUGUUUUUGAAAACCCGUCACAUGAUAUUUAUUCUACUUAAAAUAUAAGCUUAUUUUUAUCUACGCUUUCUGUAACUCAAUUUCAAUCUCAAUUUGUUCUUUGAAACUUAAAAGUCGUCAUUUUGCUCCUUAAAACUUGAUUUUGAUCUCACUUUACCUCUUGAGACUUGAUUUUGAUCUCACUUUACCUCUUGAAACUCAAAAGCCGUUAUUUACUCCCUGAAAUUCGAUUUCAAUCUCACUUUACCUCUUGAAACUCAAAAGUCGCAAUUUUAUUAAUAUUCGCCACUUUCAAUAUUACUCCCCUUUAGUUUGCUCAUAUGUAUUCCGUAAAAUUUAACCAUUAUGUUUACUUAUGUGGCAUAAUUAAGGUCCACUUAUAGCUGACGUGACACAAGUAUAUAGCUUGCAUAUCCAAUUAAAUGGUGUCAUAAGGAUUGAAACCAAAAAAAUAAAAAUAAAAACAAAACAAAACAGAAAAUUUAAUUUUCAAACAUUGUAUAACAUAUUAAAAAAAGGAAAAGUAUUAAAAAUAGCAAAAUCAAUUCUUAGGUUUCAUCUCUCCGGCCCCUUUCUCUAAUUGUUGUCCAUACAUUCAUCUUUUCUCCCUCUAUCUCCAGCCACCUUAUCAUGAGUUCCAAUUAUUUUGUUAUUCCUUAUGUUCUUAAUGGAGGUGGUUGGUGAAGAGAGAAGAGAGUUUUUAUUCUAAAAAAUAGAAACAAGGCAAUGUAAAACAAAUUGUGAGUUUCAAGGAGUAAAGUUACAAUUUUUGAGUUUCAGGGGUAAAGUGAGAUUGAAAUCGAGUUCCAAUGAGUAAAGUGACGACUUUUGACUUUCAAAAGGUAAAAUGAGAUCAAAAUCGAGUUCCAGAAAAUAGAAUGACAACUUUUGAGUUUCAGGGAGUAAGAUGAGAUUGAAAUUGAGUUCUAAAGAACAUAGCUAAAAAUGAGCCUAAACUAUAACAUGUUUAUUUUGUCUUUUACAAAUGUACUUAAAAGUGGAACGUAUUAACAUUAUCGUUUACGAAUAUACUUAACACGUGUAAUGUACAAUGCUGGCAUAAAUUUUCUCCUGUAUGCAAGUGCAGAGUUGUAUUUGAGACGGCGAAUAGGUAGCGAACACGUGGAGAUGGAGUGGAGGACAGUAUGGUUGUGACAUGCUGACGCGUGUACAGUUCAUGGGAUCGGGUCCUUUUGACCAAUGACUUUGUGGCAAAGUUUUUUUUUGGGGCGUGCUGCGUGCCGUUUGCAUAAAUGGGAAAAAUACGAUUUGUCAUUUGGUGGAAAGAGGGGAAAGCAAUUGGGUUUAGGAUAUGGGGGAGAUCGUUUUGGGAGAGCGUCCUUUAAGGAUUUAAGUAAAAGGGUGAGAGAAAAAGAGAGAGAGUCGAGGAUAGAAAGAAAGGGGUGAUGCCGUGUACAGUGGGGCAGGCAGUGAAAACUGCAUGCAGUUUCAGAAGAUGCAGCUGCAACAAGAGAAGGACCGGUGUGAGUCCACUUAUAUAUCAUGUAUGUCUCUUUUUCUAUUUUCAUGGUGUGCCUCUUUUACUUCACUGAAGGAGUCUCUCUGCUUUCGUGCCUCAUCCAUACUCUUCUACUAGGGGUAGCAUGUAUAAUAGGUAUCAUGCUCAUUGAGUAGCUCUAUCAUAAGCUAAUAAAGCCCCCAUUAACUCCAAAACCAUACCAAUUGGAUGGCAUUUUGAAGUUGUACUGGUUCCAUAGUUGUUGAGACGAGUAUUUUGAAUACUUGACCAUACACAUCCAUAACACCAGCACAGAGGAAAUAUGUCCUCUAAUAUAGACAACAUUCCAGUGUACCACUAUCCAAUGAGUAUGUGUUGUCUAUCUAAAAUUGGAAUGUUUUUUAGCCAAAAUGGUUCUUGAGAUGAACAUAACUCCCCAUUUUGAUCACUGAAAUUUAAAAUCAAUAGAACUGGCCCAUGAAUUUGCGUACCAUCAAUCAUUUGAUCUUUGCGUGAAAAAUCUCUUUUAAAUAAGAAAAAAAAUGAAAGAAAAAAAAAACCCUUAAUUUUGUCAAUUCAUUUUGGCCCGUUGUUUAUUAAAUUGAGGGUAUUUUUGUCAUUUUGGUAUUUAUUUAGUACAUUUUUUUCACGGAAUGACCAAAAUGACUGAGGGUGGACAAACUUAGGGACCACUUCUAUUGAUUUCAAAACUCAUGGACCAAAAUGAGGAGUUAUGUCAAUCUCAGAAACUAUUUUGACUAAAAUGUCAAAUAGAAACAAGAGUUAAAAACGUAAAUGACGGGCUUCGAACCUAAGCCACACAACGAGCAGUCUAAUUUGGUAUCAAAUUUUUACAUCGAUAAAUAUAUAUAUAUAUAUAUAUAUUUUAGUACAUCGAUAUUUUUACACUACGGGGAACGGGGGUUCGACUAAGCCACACAAUGGGUAGCCUAAUUUGGUAUCGAAUUUUCCAUCCAUGAGAUUUGAACCUAAGACCUCUCACUUCCAAAUGAAGAGGAAUACCACCAAACCGUAGUAAUGAGUGGCUAAACACUACGUUCCUUAAGGGUGUGUUUGGUACGCAGACGGGACGGAACGGGACGGGACGGGACGGGACGGAAUGGAACGGGACGGGACAGAACGGAACGGGACGGGACGGAACGGAACGGGACGGGACGGAACGGAACGGGACGGGAUGGAACGAAGGUGUAAUUUUUGAAAAAGACAUGGGGUAUAUUUGUCUUAAAAUGGUAAAACAUUGUGUUCCACAGACGUGGAACAAACCCGUUCCAGGGGGUGAAGGUGGGACGCAAAAACACCCAAAAUCUGUCCCGUGGAACAGCCCGUUCCACCCAUUUUUGGCGCACCAAACGCGGGACAGAAUGCCUCGUCGCGUUCCGUCCCGUCCCGUCCCACGUACCAAACGCACCCUAAAAGACGUAUAAUUUGGAUUACAAGACUGAUUAAGUUUGUCUACAAGCACAUCACAAAGUUAAUCGUGAUAAACAUGAGCAAGAGACAUGUAUGUGUUAGGCACUAGGCACAACCUAUUUAACAUUGUUAAAGUAAAAUAUCCUUUCGUAAUGGUCAAAGUCAAUCACCCAUUAGCUAAAACUAAUCACACUUUAGAACCUUUGCUCAUGUUUUCAAUUUUCAACUUGCCUAUAAAAGCAUUUAAAUUUUAUAUUUGGAACCAUAAUUUUCACACUAAAAAUGCAUUAAGACCAAAUUACUGUAUAAUCCCUAGCCUAUUUCCAAAUCAUGAUUAAUACUUUUGCUCAUGUUUUUAAUUUUCAACUUGACUAUAAAAGCAUUUAAAUAUUAUGUUUGGAACAAUAAUUUUCACACUAAAAAUGCAUUAAGACCGAAUCAUAAUUAUAUAACCCCUAUGUCCUAAUGAUCAUGAUUAAUAUUUUACCUUGGAAAGUACUUUAAAUCCAAUGUAAGAGUUAUUUUCCAGUGCUUCUUUUCUUUGAAAAAAGAGGAAUUCUUGUUUGGACAACUAAGACUUGUUUAAAAAUGGUGGUUCUUUGGCUAGCUUGCACAAAGGUUUUAUCUUUUGGCUUCAUAUUUUUCAUUGGCUUUUGACACAAAUCAAGUCUACAUGGAGGAAUGUAUUUAGAAUAUGUUCACAUCACUUCGUUAGAUGAUACUUAUUGAAUAUAACCAUGAAAUUAAGUUCUAAGAGUGAGAGGUACGUACGUAUAGGGUUGUAUUGCAUGUAUAAAUUCAUAAAUAACGUAAUUAAAAGUCUAUGAAAUUUUCUUCUCAUAUUUUCAAUGACAAAAACAUGAUUAUAAGAGAAUGAAUGGUUUCGAUUAACAUUUUUGUACUGUAAAAUAACGUCCCAUUAGUCAGAAAGGAGGCGAUUCCUCCAUGCGAAUGAAGUAUUAGUAAUACAUAGCCAAAUGUCAAUUGAAAGAUAAUCCCUCUUUUGUUUAAUACUCACAAUAGUUUCUCAAAUCUCAAGCUAAAAGGAUGGAAAAAGAGCCUCAAAAAAGGCCAAAUAACUUUAUCUCGAAAUCAGAGUAGGAUUCUUUCUUCUUCUAUUUCCCUCUCAUUUCCUCAUCUCCUCUCCUCUCACAUUUGUCUUUUAUCUCUAUAAAAAAUUAAUAUAAAAUAUUGAAUUAACUUAAUCGUAACUAUUUAAAUAGGAGGAAAUAAAAAAUGAGAGAUUUGGAGGGAAGAAAAUUCCUCCUCCCUCGAAAUCUAGCAAAACAGGGCCCUCAAGGCCCCCAAGUAUUGUAGCAAAAUUUAUAUGGCUAUGAAAAAAUAAUUGAAAGAAUUGUCUGCAGUAGUAGUACUGCUGCUAUCUGGAGAGAAAUUUUUCUGUGUAGCGGAAGAUCUUACUGCCGAUGAUUUAUUGAGUGUACCCCACUUAAUCUGAGUACACUGGACCAUUAACUUAUAAUAUUUCAACACACAAAUAUCAAGCCCAUGUGAUUACCAGCAGUCGAUGGUGAGUGACGUAUGUAGACCAGAUUUUUACUGACAUAUUUGUACUACAUACCUCCUCCCUCAUUUAAUACGGCUGCAGAACUCGACCCUCUUCUCGUCGCUUUCAUCUCCACACAGUCAGUUUAAUUAAUCACUAAAUCUUGCGUGCUUCUCAUAAAUGAACAAUCAUUAGUUUUAGGUUUUGUUUAACACUAUUAGGGUUAAGAACUUUAUGGCUAUAUAUAGCUAGAGUUGUUUAAAAAGGGUAAGCAAUUAAUGCUUAAUUGCUAUCUUAACUUUUACAAGGGAUGUUUCCCCUAAUAGACGGUCUGAAACGAUUUCUAUUACCAGUUUAGGUUAAACUUAAUUUGGAGAACUAUUUAAAAGCAGCUCCAACAAUCUCGCUAUCUGUCUCGUUAACAAUGAGUCUCAAGAUUUAGCGAUGAGGAGAAAGAUUUACAAGCCAGCUACACAUAAAUUAUUAUACUGUCACUGUUCUUCACUCCCUCCUUCCUCUGUGGAGAUCCUGAGUUGUGGACUGGCGAAUAUGACAAUGGAGCGACAGAUUUGUAGAGAUAGACAAGAGUCUCGACUGGUAGAUGAGACGGCAGAGCAGAUGAGAUCUGGGUUGAGUGGAAAGAGAAGGAACAACAUCCCAACCUUUUCUUUCAUGAAAAAUGUAAAUCUCAACUUACACUCCUAGAAUUUAGAUUCUAGAAUAUUAGUUACAUAUACAACAUUCUAACCCGUCUAACCGACCAGAUAAGGAUAUGAAAUAACAUAAUCGACCAUGCCCAAUCUAGCAAGCAACCAUCCAUAAGCAACCAUCCAUACAUGUAACAUUAUGUAAGAAGCAUCUAUUUGUUAUAAUUUGUAAUAGUACAAAUGUAGUAAAUGAAUAACCACGAUGGAUCGUAAAUCCGCCACGGAACUAAGAAAAUGUGAAACUAAUGAGAAUCACAAUUAGUAUAAGGAAGAAUAAACCACAUAAUCUCGAGUGCAUGCGUCAAUACGUUUUUAUGUUAGAGUUUUGCAUGUACAUUGUUCGAAAGAUGACCCUGAAGCAAAAUUAUUCAUAUCAUGAAACCAUACUACGUACAAUCGGGGUGGACGAAAGUAGGGAUUAAGGUGGUCCCAGGACCACCCAUAGUCCGAAAACUAUACAUGUGAAUGUAUGUUGAUAACCUCUAAAUGUUUGGUAUGAGUCCUUUUUGUACCUACUAAAUGUUUGAUGUUAUGCACGUUGGACAUAUCUCGAUAGGUUGCAUCAACAAAACUCGACAAAUUUUCUCUAUAUCACUCAUUGGAUUGCUUUGGUAUGUGCCUUUAUCUAUUGACAUGUUCGCAACAUGAUUUGGCUGUUGACAACAAGCUUGCCAAGAGUCAACGAAAUGCCUCAGUGAACAAAUUUCUUUUUUGCGCUCUUUUGCACUUUGUUUCUAUUUAAAUUCAGAAUCUCCGAAAUUUAAAUCUUGAAUCCGCCAUUGUAUACAAUUAAACCAUGUCAUGUGUGUUUUUGUAAGUAAUAAACCAAAUUUAUUUAGGGAAAAACAGUUUAGACUAAGGGCUAAUUAUGGACGUGAAAUAAUAGAAGGAAGGGUAUGGGGACGUAGUGUACAGAAGAAUCUCAGUCUUUUCGUGUCUCUGAGUUCUAAGCAGUCUGAGAGAGAGUCAGAUCUGAUAGCUUGCUUUUGAAGCAGCAGAACGUUCCAUCCAUGCAUAUGCACAUCGAUGCACAACCAAAUGAAUAAUAAUAACAAAUAACAACAAAUUAUACAAUUAAAAGGUGCACGAGUGGCCCAUAGACCACGCUGAUCAGGUGCUGCAGAACCCUACCCCCUAUACCCUAGUCCCUACCCCCACUCUCUUCCAAUUAUAGUCCUCGCCUUCCUCACCCCUUCUGACGUAGCAUCAUCGAGGGCUGAAUGAUUGGAUCAUAGUGUCUUCGCCAUAGCCAGCCCUAAGGACGAGAGAUUUUUACCGAUGCUGAGGACCCAAGACACGUAAUGUAUUACUUGGUACAAUAAGAGUCGAUAACUUUGUUAUUAUUUUACGUAUUUUCAGAUAAAUUUAUGUAUUAUAAUUUAAGUAAAAUAAUUUCAUUUGAAUGUGUUAUCACUGCACCUUCCAUGUAGAGACGGGAAGGACAGAUGAGCGAGAGAAACCUUAGACAAAAAAUUGGGGAGGUUGGGGUCCUACUAGUUUAGCUGGCAAUCACAUGGUUGAUGGCUAGAUUCAUGAUGGACGCACAAGAUUGAUGGAUGGACGAAGAUAUUUCAAAGAGAAGACGGACACACGGAAGGGUAAAGAUAAAAGGAUCGACCCUUUUACUUUCCUUAUUGAUUCUUUUGGGCCUGGCUAUAUAGCUAGAACAUAACAUCACAGCAUAGCAUAGGAUUAUCCAACUUGUUCAUGUAAAUCUAAAAGGGGUUGAGCCCUAAAGUAUGAAAGUCCUCCCUCCUUUUUCUCCUUUUGUUGCUCUUUACUUUUGGUAGAAAUCUCAUCACUGAGAUUUGAAUCUAAUAAUUAAAAAGAACACAGUGUCAAACUACAUAUUAUAUAUAUUGGUAGAUUUUUAUUCAAAAUUUUGAGCAUGAAAUUUGAAUUGAGGAUUCAGAUCGGUGGCCAGUGCCCCAGCUAGUUGGUAAGGUUGUGUAGCCCUAUGGUUGUAGGGGAGUCCUAGAUUUUUCAAUGUUCUUGUUUAACUUGCCCUUUGUCACAUCACUUAUCAGAGAUUGUAGGCCUAAUAGUAGGUAGGUUAAGUUCAGUUUCUGGCAGAUAUUUUGAAAAUUAAAAUUUUUAUCAGAAUUAUGUCGGCCUUUUGUAGUUGAUGAUAAACUGACAUCGCCGUGCAGCAUUGGGUUCAGUAAUUCGCUAUUGAGGUAACAUAAAAAAUUCAAAUGUUACAUUCUCUCCUGAAUAAAUAAUGGCAAGUGCCCUUCGUUUUGUAUAAAUCUUUAGCUGGUGAUUAUUGGAAAGAUAUCAAAUUGCUACGAAAUUAUCCGUUCUGAGUUACAAUCCGACCUUAGCUCGGUAGAGCGGAGGAUGUAGUUGUAGAUAACAGACAUCCUUAGUUAUGCCUCUCCCUGAUUAGAUGUGUAAGUUUGUUUUUCGUUAUCAAUAAAAUUUUCUUUAUACCUUCGAAGUUUCUUAAAAAAAAAAAAAAAAUCCAGUUAUGCGUUAAUUGUUACUGGACAAGAACAACGCAGAUGAAUAACAUACGACUUGUACAUGAUAAACAAUAUUUAAAUCGAUCGAUUUUGAUAAUGUUAUACUUUAGAAAUUGUCGAUUAGAAGCAAUUGAGUAAACUUGACUAACCUGAUCAGUUGUGAGGCUUUGAUAAGCAACUGAAAAUGGAGGAGAAACAUAUAUAAACAAAUAACAAGCAACUAGCCAUCUUUAUUAACUACGUUGAGAAAGAAUCAAUGAAUAAUACGGAAUGGAGGAAAAUGAAGAAAUAGAGAGAAACAAUUGAGAGAGAGAAAGAGUAUGAAUUGUAUUUUAGACUUAAAUGGAUCCUCACAAUUACAAAGCUUUUACACACACACACACACACAUAUAUAUAUAUACACAUACAUACAUACAUACAUACAUACAUACAUACAUACAUAUAUAUAUUUAGCUUAAAGCUUCCCUCUUACACUUCUAACAAACUACUAACUUCUUAAUUAACAACCUAACAACUUUAGUAUACAUGGCAGCUUCACUAACUAACCAAUGUUGAGCUAUCAUUUAUUGAUACUCAACAUCCCCCCUCAUUCUCAACUGGAUUUCUCAGUUUGAAAUUGUAUGAGUGCUUGAGAAAUGCAGGACUAUGAAGUCCUUCUUGUCCAUAUACUCCUAGUCCUGCUGCCCUCAUCAACUAAUCCUCCAUGGCUGCCAGCAUUGAAAAUACUCAAGAACGGUACAAUUUCAUACUUGUCGAUCAUCUUUCCAAAGAAGUUCAGCCCCUCAAUGACAACUCAACAUUGGUUCGUUAGUGAGGCUGUCAUGUCAUUCUAAAGCUGUUAGGUUGUUAAGAAAUUAGUUAGUCUGUUAGAAGUGUAAGAAGGAAACUUUAAGCUACAUAUAUGUGUGUAUAAAAGCUCUGUAAUUGUGAGAAUCCGUUUCAUUAAGUCUAAAAUGCAACUCAUACAGUUUACUCUCUCUCUCUCUCUCUCUCUCUCUCUCUCUCAAUUGUUUCUCUCUAGCUAGUUCUUCACUUUCCUCCUUUCCUUAUUGUUUUGUGAUUCUUUCUUAAUGUAGUUAAUAAUCUUCACUUCUUGAUCUAGUAUUGCGAGUCCUUUCAGAUUUGAAACUUUUCUUCUACAUCAGUUUGCUGGUACUAUAUAUAUAUAUAUAUAUAUAUGAUUGAGUGAACUUGUAUCUCAUAUAAAUGCAUGUGUCAUAUAUGUGUUAUAAGCAUGAAAGAAGGUUUCAGUAGUACGUUCAUAUAUUAAACUUUCGCAUGCAUAUAUCAAUCUAAGCACAGCAUGAUUAAUAAUCUUGGAAUACCAUCGAGUCUUUGUCUUUUGUAAACAAAUCAGAAGUAGUUUGCUUUAACUCAACACCAAAUAACAUGGUCUCCAUUGCCACUAAAAUCUUGUUGUGUAUGACCUGAAUUAACCGGAUGUACUUUUGCUUGUUAAUUACUACGUACGUACUUAUAAUUGCAGAAUUGAGAUUAGCCAAGUUGGAGUUUGAUGGAGAUUGGAAGCAGCACUAAAUAUCUGAAUUUCGUGAUAUUUUUAAUUUGUACAUUCUGUUUUAUUUUGUUUCUUGUUUAGGCUAUAUUUAAUAUUUUUGUAGGAUCUUUUAUAAAUUAGGUAUCUUAAAUUUGUGUUUAUUUUAGAUUUGGUUGUAAUUAUAUUUCUUUUCGGCCAAGUAGUCUUGGUGCCCAAGUUUUCUCUCGCUACAAAUAUGGGUUCUUGUAAUCGUUUUAAGAGGGUUGAUGAUUUAAUAAAAUUAAAAGAGAUUCCUCGUAUUUUUCUAUUUUUUAAGUAUUCUUGCGGGUAUCAACGAAUUUAUGGAUGCCCUCAUUUUGGCAUUCUUUUUGUGAGAAUCAACAAGAUUGAGGAACGUUGUGCUCGUUUCGAUCUAAUAUUGUUUUGCUUACGCACUGCAUCAAAUAGAGCAUUGUGCUGCCCCUCAACACUCAAGUUCGAAUCUCUUUCUUUGUGGUUUUGUUUAAAUUUAGUGUUACUUUUAUAAAUAAAAAUGGCUUACCAGAAACUGGUAGGUUAAGUUCAUGUCAUGAUUAUUACAAAUGAUGCAUUGGGAUAUUUCAUCUAGCUAUCUGUUCCAAAAAGAUCAAAACCUAUGAUCUUAAGCAUAGCAUGCUAACUACAUAGCAAAGAAUAAUCAAGUUUCAAUUUCUGAUUCGACGAACUAUUGUACGAAAAAUCCAUGACAACUAUUUAGCUGACUAUAAAUCUACUUCAUCCAAUGAAAGUAUCUCCCAUGGGACAAACUCAGCAGACCAUUGUAGUCGUUACCGUAUGAGAAGAAAUCCAGCCAAUUCAUCAAAAUCAAAUGUAGUGGGGACAAGUUUGAUUAUAGCUAUGGGACCCCAAUGCAUGAUAAAGAAAGGUUUUGAUAAGGAUUGUUGAAUAAUUACACAAGAAAAAAAGGAUAAUGUGACAUGAAAAAGUGGGAGAUUAGCAAGAGGGAGUUUAGUCCAACUAGGGUUUAAUUACAUGGCCGGAAAACAUAUCGAAGAGGGGAAUAGGAUAUUUGCCAACCAGAUUAGGCUUUUUAGCUUUUGGGCUGUUGGUGGCUAAAAGUUGUCUCAUCGGUAUAUGGGAGUGAGUUGUCACCCUAAAAAGCUUAACCGUGAAAAUUAAGAAAGUUGGAGGUUUUGAUUUAGUGUUUAGUAAAGGAGUAUCUUUUUAUUGGCAAAAGUCCCUUUGUUUUGAAUCAUAGAGUCCCAUCAAAUAUGGACAAUUAGUGCCUUCGAGAGUUUGAGAGAAAUUUGUGAGAGAAGCAAUUGAGAAGAAACUUGUUGGAAAUUUUGAGUAGAAUUUCAUUGUCUCACAUUGCUCACCACCACAAGGUUUUCUCACUUUAUAAGGCUUUGUCCUUUAUAGAAAGUGAUUGAAGUGAUGGACAUUGGAGACUAAAAUUGGGCUCAUCCUUGGGGUUGAGCUUUGGGGUGUAAUAAUUAAUUGAUAAUUAAUAU